rnacentral:rRNA from 1 species
UGCGCAAGUCAUUGGGACAUAAAGCGAAACCUACAGGCGAAAUGAAAGUGAAUAUUGCUCACGCCACGCUCCGGUGUGGUGUGUGACAGUAUAGGGAGGAUGGGUUGGCCCAAGUGGCCGGCCUCGCACUCCCAGGGCGUCUCGUGUUCAUUGCGAACUGAGGCGCACCUAGAGCGUACAUGCUGGGACCCGAAAGAUGGUGAACUAUGCCUGGUCAGGAUGAAGUCAGGGGAAACCCUGAUGGAGGUCCGUAGCGAUUCUGACGUGCAAAUCGAUCGUCCGAACUGGGUAUAGGGGCGUAAGACCAAUCGAACCAUCUAGUAGCUCGUUCCUUU